CCUACGGGUGGCAGCAGUGGGGAAUAUUGCACAAUGGGGGGAACCCUGAUGCAGCGACGCCGCGUGAGUGAAGAAGUAUUUCGGUACGUAAAGCUCUGUCAGCAGGGAAGAAGAAAGACGGUACUUGACCAAGAAGCCUCGGCUAACUACGUGCCAGCAGCCGCGGCAAUACGUAGGGGGCAAGCGUUAUUCGGACUUACUGGGUGUAAAGGGAGCGUAGACGGCAGGGCAAGUCCGGAGUGAAAGGCAGGGGCCCAACCCCUGGACUGCUCUGGAAACUGGCCGGCUGGAGUGCAGGAGAGGAGAGUGGAAUUCCUGGUGUAGCGGUGAAAUGCGUAGAUAUUAGGAGGAACACCAGUGGCGAAGGCGACUAACUGGACUGUAACUGACGUUGAGGCUCGAAAGCGUGGGUAGCAAACAGGAUUAGAUACCCCAGUAGUC
rnacentral:rRNA from 1 species